rnacentral:rRNA from 1 species
AUUGAACGCUGGCGGCAGGCCUAACACAUGCAAGUCGAAUGGUAACAGGAAACAGCUUGCUGUUUCGCUGACGAGUGGCGGACGGGUGAGUAAUGUCUGGGAAACUGCCUGAUGGAGGGGGAUAACUACUGGAAACGGUAGCUAAUACCGCAUAACGUCGCAAGACCAAAGAGGGGGACCUUCGGGCCUCUUGCCAUCAGAUGUGCCCAGAUGGGAUUAGCUAGUAGGUGGGGUAACGGCUCACCUAGGCGACGAUCCCUAGCUGGUCUGAGAGGAUGACCAGCCACACUGGAAAUGAGACACGGUCCAGACUCCUACGGGAGGCAGCAGUGGGGAAUAUUGCACAAUGGGCGAAAGCCUGAUGCAGCCAUGCCGCGUGUAUGAAGAAGGCCUUCGGGUUGUAAAGUACUUUCAGCGGGGAGGAAGGGAGUAAAGUUAAUACCUUUGCUCAUUGACGUAACCCGCAGAAGAAGCACCGGCUAACUCCGU